UACGUAGGGUGCGAGCGUUGUCCGGAAUUAUUGGGCGUAAAGAGCUCGUAGGCGGCUCAGUAAGUCGGGUGUGAAAACUCCAGGCUCAACCUGGAGACGCCACCUGAUACUGCUGUGGCUAGAGUCCGGUAGGGGAGCAUGGAAUUCCUGGUGUAGCGGUGAAAUGCGCAGAUAUCAGGAGGAACACCAGUGGCGAAGGCGGUGCUCUGGGCCGGAACUGACGCUGAGGAGCGAAAGCGUGGGGAGCAAACAGG
rnacentral:rRNA from 1 species